rnacentral:rRNA from 1 species
GACGAACGCUGGCGGCGUGCUUAACACAUGCAAGUCGAACGGAAAGGCCCUGCUUUUGUGGGGUGCUCGAGUGGCGAACGGGUGAGUAACACGUGAGUAACCUGCCCUUGACUUUGGGAUAACUUCAGGAAACUGGGGCUAAUACCGGAUAGGAGCUCCUGCUGCAUGGGGGGGGUUGGAAAGUUUCGGCGGUUGGGGAUGGACUCGCGGCUUAUCAGCCUGUUGGUGGGGUAGUGGCUUACCAAGGCUUUGACGGGUAGCCGGCCUGAGAGGGUGACCGGCCACAUUGGGACUGAGAUACGGCCCAGACUCCUACGGGAGGCAGCAGUGGGGAAUAUUGCACAAUGGGCGGAAGCCUGAUGCAGCAACGCCGCGUGCGGGAUGACGGCCUUCGGGUUGUAAACCGCUUUCGCCGGUGACGAAGCGUGAGUGACGGUAAUGGGUAAAGAAGCACCGGCUAACUACGUG